AUGCGAUAAGUAAUGUGAAUUGCAGAAUUCAGUGAAUCAUCGAAUCUUUGAACGCACAUUGCGCCCACUAGUAUUCUGGUGGGCAUGCCUGUUCGAGCGUCAUUUCAACCCUCAAGCCUUAGUUGCUUGGUGUUGGGAGCUUAUCUUGCCGAAAGGCGGACAACUCCUUAAAACUAUUGGCGGAGUCGCGGUGACCCCAAGCGUAGUAAAUCUUUUUUUUCUCGCUUUAGGUGUUAGCGCUAUCUUCUAGCCGUUAAAACCCCCAAAUCUUUUAGUGGUUGACCUCGGAUCAGGUAGGACUACCCGCUGAACUUAA
rnacentral:misc_RNA from 1 species